GAACUGAGCUUUCUGUUUCCUAGCAACAGAAUUCCGCACUCUGCUCAUCUCCCAUCUUCAAUAUCCAUCGUGGUCUCUCCCAGGGCCCUGGGAGCCAGCAGCAUCUGCCCUUGCCUGUGGACUGCAUCCCGCCUGUGUCUUUGUAAUGAGGAGUUUUCGGUACACAAUAGGAACUAGUCAACACACCAACAUCCUGAAGUUUUCCCGCCUGACGGGGAUUCUUUGCUCGAUCAGUCUUUAGUCAUGCUCCCGAACCUUCUUCUAGGCCCGUCUGUGCACUUCCUUGUAAGAUCCAGUUUUAACAAGAACUGUGCACCUGCACCUACGUGCUCAGGAAACAGACGUUGAAUGAAGGAAUGUCCAGAACACAACAGAAGUUCAGAAUGGACAGGAUGAGAUGGAAUGUGUAACACUUUAAAAGUUACCACCUUUUUAACAGGAUUAAAGGCUUAAGUCUAAGGAAUGACAACGUAGAGAUUUGGGCAUCGCUGGGUGGCUCCGCAGACUCUGAUGGAGGGGACCCCUCCCUGGGCGGGGACAGAUGCCAGCCCCGCACAGAGACCAGGGGUUCUGCCGCUCGCCCCCCAGGGUCUCAGGGCAGGUUCUGAGCACUUCCCUGCUGGCAAAGGGAGAUGGAAACUGCAGUUUGGGAAGAUAGCAGAAAGGGAAGGCAGAGUGUUUUAAUUAAACAGGAAUAGAAAAUGUGCGAAAAAUAUCUCCUC